UAUGUACUCCCUCCGUCCGGAAAUACUUGUCUUAGAAAUGGUUGAAAAUGAAUGUAUGUAGAACUAAAAUAAGUCUAGAUACCAACCAUUUGUAGGACAAGUAUUUCCGGACGGAGGGAGUACAUA
rfam:Triticum aestivum genome assembly, contig: Triticum_aestivum_CS42_TGACv1_scaffold_146963_2BS